rnacentral:SRP_RNA from 1 species
GCUGGGCAUGGUGGCACAUGCCUGUAGUCCUGUCUACUCAGGAGGCUGAGACAGGAGGCUUGCUUGAGCUCAGGAGUUCUAGGUUGCAAUAAGCUAUGAUCUCACCUCUACGCUUUAGCCUGGACGACAGAGCGAGAUCCUGCUUCUU